rnacentral:rRNA from 1 species
AAAAACAUGUCUUUAAGGUUUAUUUUAAAGUCUAAUCUGCUCACUGAAUAAUUUAAAGAGCCGCAGUAUUUUGACUGUGCAAAGGUAGCAUAAUCAAUAGUUUCUUAAUUGGGAACUGGAAUGAAAGAUUGGAUGAUAAAUUUACUUUCUUAACUUUAAAAAUUGAAUUUAAAAUUUAAGUUAAAAUUCUUAAAUAAAUUUAAAAGACGAGAAGACCCUAUAGAUUUUUAUUAUCAUAUGGUUACGAAAAAUAAGGUAUCUUUUUGUAUAAUUUAAUUGGGGUGAUUUUGUAAUAUACAUAACUUAAUUUAUUUAAACCAUUAAUAAUUGAAUAUUUUGACCUAAAAUUUUUAAAUAAAAGAUUAAAUUACCUUAGGGAUAACAGCGUUAUAUUAUUUAAGAGUUCAUAUCUAUAAUAAUGUUUGCGACCUCGAUGUUGAAUUAAGAAAUAUACUGGAGUAGAAAUUAGUAUUAAUUAGUCUGUUCGACUAUUAAAUUCUUACGUGAUCUGA